UUAGAGUUUGAUCCUGGCUCAGGACGAACGCUGGCGGCGUGCUUAACACAUGCAAGUCGGCGGAAAGGCCCCUUCGGGGGUACUCGAGCGGCGAACGGGUGAGUAACACGUGGGUAAUCGCCCUAGACACAGGAAUAACCAGUGGAAACGCUGGCUAAUGCCUGAUGAUGUGCCGGCCUGCGGGGCUGGUACCAAAGGUAGCUUCGGCUUCCGGUCUUGGAUGAGCCCGCGGCCCAUUACUUGUUGGCGGGGUAAUGGCCCACCAAGGCUUCGAUGGGUAGCUGGUCUGAGAGGACGAUAGCCACACUGGGACUGAGACACGGCCCAGACUCCUACGGGAGGCAGCAGUGGGGAAUCUUCGCAAUGGGCGAAAGCCUGACGCAGCAACGCCGCGUGCGGGAAGAAGGUCUUAGGGUUGUAACCGCUUUCAGCAGGGACGAAGGCGUCCGGGUUAAUAGCCCGUACGUUGACGGUACCUGAGAAGAAGGUCCGGCUAACUAUGUGCCAGCAGCCGCGGUAAUACGUAGGGACCAAGCGUUUCCGGAAUCAUUGGGCGUAAAGAGCGUGUAGGCGGCCUGUUAAGUCUUGCGUGAAAUCUCGGGCUCAACCCCGAGCGGUCGUG
rnacentral:rRNA from 1 species